rnacentral:rRNA from 1 species
GAUGAACGCUGGCGGCGUGCCUAAUACAUGCAAGUCGAGCGAACAGAUAAGGAGCUUGCUCCUUUGACGUUAGCGGCGGACGGGUGAGUAACACGUGGGUAACCUACCUAUAAGACUGGGAUAACUUCGGGAAACCGGAGCUAACACCGGAUAAUAUUUCGAACCGCAUGGUUCGAUAGUGAAAGAUGGUUUUGCUAUCACUUAUAGAUGGACCCGCGCCGUAUUAGCUAGUUGGUAAGGUAACGGCUUACCAAGGCGACGAUACGUAGCCGACCUGAGAGGGUGAUCGGCCACACUGGAACUGAGACACGGUCCAGACUCCUACGGGAGGCAGCAGUAGGGAAUCUUCCGCAAUGGGCGAAAGCCUGACGGAGCAACGCCGCGUGAGUGAUGAAGGUCUUCGGAUCGUAAAACUCUGUUAUUAGGGAAGAACAUACGUGUAAGUAACUGUGCACGUCUUGACGGUACCUAAUCAGAAGGCCACGGCUAACUACGUG